rnacentral:rRNA from 1 species
UACAGAGGUGGCGAGCGUUGUUCGGAUUUACUGGGCGUAAAGGGUGCGUAGGUUGUCACUUGUGUCGGGUGUGAAAGCCCACGGCUUAACCGUGGAAUGGCAUUCGAAACUGGGUGACUAGAGUGCAGGAAGGGAGAGCGGAAUUCUUGGUGUAGCGGUGAAAUGCGUUGAUAUCAAGAAGAACACCGGUGGCGAAGGCGGCUCUCUGGAAUGUUACUGACACUGAGGCACGAGAGCUGGGGGAGCAAACAGG